rnacentral:rRNA from 1 species
GUCGAACGCUGAAGGCCCAGCUUGCUGCGGUUGGAUGAGUGGCGAACGGGUGAGUAACACGUGAGUAACCUGCCCCCUUCUUUGGGAUAACGGUCGGAAACGGCUGCUAAUACCGGGUAUUCACUGUCCUUCGCAUGGGGGGUGGUGGAAAGGUUUUUUCUGGUGGGGGAUGGGCUCGCGGCCUAUCAGCUUGUUGGUGGGGUGAUGGCUUACCAAGGCUUUGACGGGUAACCGGCCUGAGAGGGUGACCGGUCACAUUGGGACUGAGAUACGGCCCAGACUCCUACGGGAGGCAGCAGUGGGGAAUAUUGCACAAUGGGCGAAAGCCUGAUGCAGCGACGCCGCGUGAGGGAUGACGGCCUUCGGGUUGUAAACCUCUUUCGCUCAUGGUCAAGCCGCAACAGUGGUUGUGGUGAGGGUAGUGGGUAAAGAAGCGCCGGCUAACUACGUGCCAGCAGCCGCGGUAAUACGUAGGGCGCGAGCGUUGUCCGGAAUUAUUGGGCGUAAAGGGCUUGUAGGCGGUUGGUCGCGUCUGCCGUGAAAUCCUCUGGCUUAACUGGGGGCGUGCGGUGGGUACGGGCUGACUUGAGUGCGGUAGGGGAGACUGGAACUCCUGGUGUAGCGGUGGAGUGCGCAGAUAUCAGGAAG